rnacentral:rRNA from 1 species
UACGAAGGGGGCUAGCGUUGCUCGGAAUCACUGGGCGUAAAGCGCACGUAGGCGGAUUGCUAAGUCAGGGGUGAAAUCCUGGAGCUCAACUCCAGAACUGCCUUUGAUACUGGCGAUCUCGAGUUCGGGAGAGGGUGAGUGGAACUGCGAGUGUAGAGGUGAAAUUCGUAGAUAUUCGCAAAGAACACCAGUGGCGGAAGGCGGCUCACUGGCCCGAUACUGACGCUGAGGUGCGAAAGCGUGGGGA